rnacentral:rRNA from 1 species
CCUACGGGAGGCAGCAGUGAGGAAUUUUCCGCAAUGGGCUAACGCCUGACGGAGCAAUGCCACGUGGAGGAGGAAGGCCUGUGGGUCGUAAACUCCUUUUCUCAGAGAAGAAGAUCUGACGGUAUCUGAGGAAUAAGCAUCGGCUAACUCUGUGCCAGCAGCCGCGGUAAUACAGGGGAUGCAAGCGUUAUCCGGAAUUAUUGGGCGUAAAGCGUCCUGAGGUGGCUUACCCAGUCGACUGUGAAAGCUCAAGGCUCAACCUUGAAACGGCAGUCGAAACUUGUAAGCUUGAGUACGGUAGAGGCAGAGGGAAUUCCCGGAGGAGAGGUGAAAUUCGUAGAUAUCGGGAGGAAGGCCAAAGGCGAAAGCACUCUGCUGGGCCGAUUACUGACACUGACAGACGAAAGCUAGGGGAGCGAAAGGGAUUAGAUACCCCUGUAGUCCUAGCCGUAAACGAUGGAUACUAAGUGUUGCGCGACUCAACUCGUGCAGUGCUGCAGCUAACGCGGUAAGUAUCCCGCCUGGGGAGUAGUGCUCGCAAGAGUAGAACUCAAAGGAAUUGACGGNGNGAGAGNGACGAGACGACGACGAGGAGAGG